rnacentral:rRNA from 1 species
UACGUAGGGUGCGAGCGUUGUCCGGAAUUAUUGGGCGUAAAGAGCUCGUAGGCGGUCUGUCGCGUCGAUCGUGAAAACUUGGGGCUUAACCCUGAGCUUGCGGUCGAUACGGGCAUGACUGGAGUUCGGCAGGGGAGACUGGAAUUCCUGGUGUAGCGGUGAAAUGCGUAGAUAUCGGGAGGAACACCAGUGGCGAAGGCGAGUCUCUGGGAUGAUGCUGACGCUGAGGCGCGAAAGCCAGGGGAGCAAACGGG